GCCGCCAUAGCUCAGUCGGUUAGAGCGUGGGUCUAAUAAGCCCAAGGUCGCAGGUUCGACCCCUACUGGCGGCA
rnacentral:tRNA from 1 species